rnacentral:rRNA from 1 species
CCCCUAGUAACGGCGAGUGAAGAGGGAAGAGCUCAAAUUUGAAAGCUGGUACCUCCGGUAUCCGCGUUGUAACCUCGAGACGCGUUUUCCGUGCGGCGCUAUGGACAAGUUCCUUGGAACAGGACAUCGUAGAGGGUGAAAAUCCCGUACUUGCCAUGGAUGUACCGUGCUUUGCGAUACGUGCUCUAAGAGUCGAGUUGUUUGGGAUUGCAGCUCAAAAUGGGUGGUAGACUCCAUCUAAAGCUAAAUAUCGGGGAGAGACCGAUAGCGAACAAGUACCGUGAGGGAAAGAUGAAAAGCACUUUGGAAAGAGAGUUAAAAGUACGUGAAAUUGUCGAAAGGGAAGCGCUUGAAGUCAGCCAUGCCGCUCAGGACUCAGCCUGGCUUUUGCUUGGUGUAUUUCCUGGGUAGCAAGUCAGCAUUGGUUUGGAUCGUCGGAGAAGCAUAGUCGGAAUGUGGCGCCCUCGGGCGUGUUAUAGCCUUCUAUUGGAUACGACGAUCUAGACCAAGGAACGCAGCGCGCCUUAUGGCGGGUCUUCGGACACCUUCGCGCUUAG